UACGUAGGGGGCAAGCGUUGUCCGGAUUUAUUGGGCGUAAAGAGCUCGUAGGUGGUUCGGUAAGUCGGAUGUGAAAUCUCCAGGCUCAACUUGGUGCGGUCAUUCGAUACUGCCGUGACUAGAGGUCGGUAGGGGAGUGUGGAAUUCCUGGUGGAGCGGUGAAAUGCGCAGAUAUCAGGAGGAACAGCCGAUGGCGAAGGCAGGUCUCCUGGGCAUUAACUGACGCUGAGGAGCGAAAGCAUGGGGAGCGAACAGG
rnacentral:rRNA from 1 species